rnacentral:rRNA from 1 species
GAUGAACGCUAGCUACAGGCUUAACACAUGCAAGUCGAGGGGCAGCAUGGUCUUAGCUUGCUAAGGCCGAUGGCGACCGGCGCACGGGUGAGUAACACGUAUCCAACCUGCCGUCUACUCUUGGACAGCCUUCUGAAAGGAAGAUUAAUACAAGAUGGCAUCAUGAGUCCGCAUGUUCACAUGAUUAAAGGUAUUCCGGUAGACGAUGGGGAUGCGUUCCAUUAGAUAGUAGGCGGGGUAACGGCCCACCUAGUCUUCGAUGGAUAGGGGUUCUGAGAGGAAGGUCCCCCACAUUGGAACUGAGACACGGUCCAAACUCCUACGGGAGCAGCAGUGAGGAAUAUUGGUCAAUGGACGAGAGUCUGAACCAGCCAAGUAGCGUGAAGNUGAAGGUCUUACGGAUUGUAAACUUCUUU